ensembl:lncRNA
UCCGUGUGGGUUACCAAAAAAAAUCUUACGAUGCAGCAAGAUUUUCUUUUUUAAAGAGUAAAGCAGAAAAUGCAGAGAAUGAAAAAUAAGGAUGGGAAAGGCCAGACAUCCCCAGGGGAAAAGCGAGGCCACACCGGACUCGGUUUGGGGGCCGCAGGGGCACCUUGGGCUCUGUUCUGCCAUUGAGGCCAUGCAGGAUCCAAGGAGAAGCCGAGGCUGGAGGGCUGGGGAGCUCGGGCAGGCCUUCGCCGCGGUGGAAGGGCAUCUCCAUUUCAUCUCCUGAUCAGUGAGAAUUCCUUAAAGCAGGGCGCUUUUCUAACUCGUUCCACCUUCAUGAUCUCGCUGAGCCCCGUAGGGAUCGCUAGGGUCGGUGUACGAGGAGGGACAGGCUCUGCGGUUCCUUCUGCUGUCCCCAGGACGAAGCGCCUCUCUAGCCACUCAACCCCCACCCCGCGCCCUUGUGCCCUGAACCCCAUUCGCAAGGAAAUCCCUUCCUGGGGCUCCCCAGGCUCUUCCUCUGCUUCUGCUUCAUGCUCUCCUCAUGUCCUGCUCCAAUGGCAAGCGCGCCGAACGGAGUUCUCUGUGAGGUGCGCAACGGAAGAUCAGGGCUGGGCGAAGAGGCCACUACGGGAGGGGGAGGAGUCGAGGGUCAUAAAAUCCAGCGACAUGCACAGGACACGGGAUCCAGGAGGACCCCAGGGCUCCCGAGCGCUGUCCACAGACCCAAUCAGAAGGCGGUAUUUUCAGUCCUUCCUCGGAACCAGGUGCGGUUCGUAAGACCAAUCAGAAAAGUGCUGUUUUUCAGUCCUGUUGCUAUCUGGCAGGAAGUCCCGUGAGUUUUUGCCUAGCGCAGUCUACACCUGGUUCCGGGCCAAGUGGGUUUUUGACAACUGUCCUGGUGCCUUCUUUGCAUUGGGAGAAGCCAACUCCGGAACUGUGGAUACAAAAGAACCCCUGUCCGCCUCCUUGGGCGCUGUGCGCCUUCUCACGCGCCCGCUUACUCCGCAGAGCGUGAUCUUUUCCGCCUUCACUAAAUGUACGCUUGCGCCGCCUUUUCCGUGUCUCUUGUCUCGUCCACUUCUGUGUUCAGGACACCGAGGAUCCGGAGGGAAUCCCGCGGGACCCCCUAGCUGGUAACAGACAGGCCGUGGGUAGACGCUCCGGUUUCCGCACUGUGGCUAGAUAAACGCGGCUCUCCUAGAGCCAGAAUGAGGCACAGCCUUGAAAGAAACCACAGCCCCAGCGCUUUAUGUUUAAUUUACUUUUUUGAAGAACUGGGAUUGCCCUCCCCGCUUCAGUUAUUCUAAACUAAUGAGACGACCUGAAGGAAUGUACUGAGACCUCUGCGUUCGGUUGGGCUCUCAUCCAAAGAGCUUGGCGUCCCCUGGUGGCCAUGGAAACACAGAGCCUGCACCCCACCCCCACCCCCCGGCCAGGAUCUGCAGCGGGCGGGGAAGCCCGCGCUGGACGUCGCCCUCCUGGUACCAAAGAUUAAACCCAGCGACUAGGACAUGCUGGGCAAGCCCUCUACACCUGAGCUACGCUCCAGAACUUUUUAUUUGAGACAGGAUCUCUAAAUUGCCCAGGCUGCCCUUGAAUUUGAGCCGCUUCCAUGUCAGCCCUCCAAGCAGCUGGGACUGCAGGUGUGCACCAGCACAGCUGGCUUUAAGCAUCUUGCCUGGUAAAUGCUGUAGACAGCCUAGCAGCUCCUUUGGAACAUAGCAUUUAUUUUAAACUUAGUAGCUGAGUCAAACCAGUAAUAUGACAUUUACGGCAUGAUUAAUAGGAAAAAAGAAACCGGGGAAACACUAUGUGCUUAACAAUAUUGGUUCAAUAAAUGAGAGGACAUUCAGACCGUAUGAAGAACAGGAGCGGGUGUCCAAGAUGUAUCAUGUGAGCAAGUGAGUAUUCAGGAUUGCCACCGAGACGUCUCACAGGAGAGGAGGUCUUCACACGUGUGUCUUUAUAUGCACAGGAUGUUUCUGGUUCUAUGUGCUAGAAACUGGAAUCCACUGCUUCUAAGUAAGGGUCUUACAGAGUUGCAGGGGGAGGGAGACUCCAUUCUAUUGUGUGUUCUUUGGUGCUUGUGAAUUGUUUUAACUGUAUGUGUACACGUUACAUUUCAAACUCCCAAAGGAUCACACAGUCAUUUCAAGUUACGAUUAUGAAGAUCAACGAAGCAACAUGGAAAAAUCUUAUGAUGUAAAGCGAAGAAUGCAGGACUCCAAGUGAGUAUAAGCAUUGUACUCUCAGCUGUGUCAAGAUAUGCAAAUAAAAGAGAAGGAA